GGUGCCUCUAUCCCUCGUCGGGAAGAAGACCUGCAAUUCCUUUCAAGGCGAAACUUGUCUUGGGCGAUGGUACUGUACAGUACAUCCCCCAUCAGUAGGCAAUGUAUCUUGCUGCUCGGCGAAAGUUCGGAGUUUGACACGCGUUGAUUGUGCUUGUUAAUGCGGUUUGAGACCCUGAGUAAGUCGCUGCAGGGGUUUUUACUUUGCUGAUACAGCAUUUUAGCCUGCGGAAGUUGCAGCUGCGCCACAUUGUUAUGGAUUCGAUUCAGUGGGAAAUAUAUAAAAGGCACCUACGAAUUUGGAGUGUCUAAAACUAACCGUAGGAACUUUCAACAAUAUUCUUGGAAUAUGGUGAAGAUGUUGAAAGGCGGAAGAGCAGAUCCGGCCAUACACCGUCUUUGUUAUUGCGUAUCUGUGGUUUGUUGAACGCUGGGUGCAAUCAAACAAACUGUUAAUUCAAAGUCCACUUCUCGUUAUUAGCACCUUACUUCUUUCCAUGAGGUCGGAAAUAUUUCAUUGGCCUCUUGUAUGGCUACUUUCUCGUUCUUUACAUUGAUGGGGGUUGACAAGUUCGCAAGGAAUGUACCAAGCCAACUAUGGGAAGCCUCAUUGAAUAUUUGCUAGCAACCA
rnacentral:sRNA from 2 species